GUGGGGAAUCUUAGACAAUGGGCGCAAGCCUGAUCUAGCCAUGCCGCGUGAGCGAUGAAGGCCUUAGGGUUGUAAAGCUCUUUCGUGGGGGAAGAUAAUGACUGUACCCCAAGAAGAAGCCCCGGCUAACUCCGUGCCAGCAGCCGCGGUAAUACGGAGGGGGCUAGCGUUGUUCGGAAUUACUGGGCGUAAAGCGCACGUAGGCGGACUGGAAAGUCAGGGGUGAAAUCCCGGGGCUCAACCCCGGAACUGCCUUUGAAACUCCCAGUCUUGAGUUCGAGAGAGGUGAGUGGAAUUCCGAGUGUAGAGGUGAAAUUCGUAGAUAUUCGGAGGAACACCAGUGGCGAAGGCGGCUGCCUGGACCGAUAUUGACGCUGAGACGCGAAAGCGUGGGUAGCAAACAGGAUUAGAUACCCCAGUAGUCC
rnacentral:rRNA from 1 species